rnacentral:misc_RNA from 1 species
UGCAGGUGGCCACAUUUAUUCAGG